rnacentral:lncRNA from 1 species
AGAUUUAAUGAUAUUGGAUAAAACAUGGGGCAUGGGUUAGCUCAAAUUAGAUCCUUUUAAUUGGAUUAGAUCUAAAGUUAGAAUCNNNNNNNNNNNNNNNNNNNNCAUACUCGAGAUCAAACACAAUAGUUGUAGAAGGUCGAGUUUAUAUCUUUGAUUAAACCAAAUAGACCUUGAUUGAGGCUCAAAAGUUGAUCUUGAGUCAUUGAGCUGAUUAGAUCAUUAAGUGACUCGAGUUGAUCGAUGUCGUUAAAGUUAAUCAGCAUGAUUGAUUUAGUUACCCCAGAUCGAUUUAUCUUUAGUCUUUCUCAUGACUUGGUGAAGUCAGUGGGAGGAUUUACGACUUGUUGGUUGGACCAGCUAGUCUCUAGUCUUUUACAUGACUUGGUGAAGUCAGUGGGAGGAUUUAUGACUUGUAGGUCGACUGAUUACUUCUAAAAUAUAUUAAUCAAAUUUUUUAAAUUAUUAGAUCUAUAAAAUGAGCUAGUUAUGGAGAUAAUUAGAUCAUAGCCUCCCAUUAAAUUGGGUGAUAAUGGGUCUUGUUGGUGCAAAAAUCUGCCUGCGCCGGAGAAGCUGGAGUCGUGGGAGUCGCGGUCACCGUCGGGACCUGCAAAAGAAGUCUAGACCGGAGGUGGGGUUGCUCCGGCAAGAUCCUCCGACGCUCAAGUCAGUUCUCUGCCUCAACAAGAAUGGAGUGCUCGAACGAAAAUUUUAGCAGAGUUUUUGGGAUAGAAAAUACAGCUUAGAGAAUAACGUAUCUGGGGUCCCCCCCUUUUAUAGGCGGAGAGAGCAACAGACUGAUAGCGACGUUUAUAACCAUCCGGCAGUGGGCUACCCAUGGUCAGGAGGAGUUUGUUGCGAAGAGUAGUGGAGUGGAAUCGUGGCUAUCGCCGGGACACGCCACGUCGAGUCUGUCGCGAGGGGUGGAGCGGCGUCCGUUGUCGCGACUUGCCAGAGGAUGGAGGAAUCGCAUAGUAUCCGUCGCAGGAAGUGGAGUAGGAUCGUGGCCAUUAUUGCGGUCUACCAGGGAGUGAUGGAGCCACGCGAAAUCCAUCGCAGGAAGUGGAGCAGAGUCAUGGCCGUUGCGGUGGCCUGCUAGGGGGUCCAGGCCUGUCGGCCGAAGUCCGGCUGGAGUGUCUGGCGGAGAGGGGUGGCUAGUUGCCCGUCUGAGAGGAACUCAGAGUCCUGCUCUCAUGGGAGUUCGGACGAAGUCUUCCUUCAGUUGAAGUCGGAGACGAGAUCUGGCCCCCGUAGGAGCCCGAGCGAAGUCUACCUGCAGUCAAAGUCAGGGGCGAAGUCCGGCUCCCUUAGGAGUCCGGACGAAGUUUACCAGCAGUUGGGGUCGAGGACGGAGCCCGGCUCCCGUAGGAGUCUGGGCGAAGCCUUCCCGCAGUCGAGGUCGGGGACGAGAUCCGGCUCCCAUAGGAGUCUGGGCUGAGUCUUCCUGCAAUUGGAGUUGUGGGUGAAGUUCGGCUCCCGUAGCAGUCCAGACGAAGUUUACCUGUAAGCGAAGUCGUGGGCGGAGCCCGGCUCUCAUAGGAGUCCGGGCGAAGUCCGCCCGCAGUCGG